CAAAAGGGACCAAAGUCCACCUCGCAUUAAGACCUCAAAGACCAUUGGAAUAACCACAGCAAAGAGCCAAAAAGCCACCACAUUUCCCCUUCUCUCUCUCUCUCUCUCAGAGCUUGAGAGAGUGUGUAAUUGUUUUGAUCUUGUUUUCUGGGUUGAUCCACCGACCCGAAGCUUCGAUUCCAUCGGAGGAGACCCACAGCCCGAGCCUGGUCCUGACGGCGGACACCAAGCUGCAGCCUCCGAUGGACGGCUGACCUCCACGAGCGAUUCGUCGACGCCGUCGCCCAGCUCGGGGCCCCCGAAAGUUGGUACCUUUUUGCCUUUUGCUGCAACUGUUCCCUGGUUCUCCAUCAUCAAUGACCGAAAGAAGCAACACCAAAGGCUAUCAUGCAAACGAUGGGUGCUAUAAAGGGCUGAAACUUUUUCACCUGAAGAGUCAUCUCCAGAAAUACAGAUCAGGAAAGCAAUCAGGCAAAGAAAUGACUGAACAGUCAAAAGAUGGCAGCUUCCUGCAUUUUAGAGAAUAGGAGCAGCAGUGCUUUAUCUCCAAAAAGUACCUACUCUUGAUGUCAGCACGAUGCAUGAGCAUGUCGGGAAACAUUGGACAUGGUUGGUGCUCCUGCUUUUAGGGGUCAGGAAGUGAAAGAGGCACUAAGAGCACAAAUGGAAGUGCAAAGACUGCUUGAACAAG